AGCAGCCGCGGUAAUUCCAGCUCCAAUAGCGUAUAUUAAAGUUGUUGCAGUUAAAAGCUCGUAGUUGAAUUUCGGGAUCAAGUACGUCGGUCGUGCUUCGGUACGUACUGGCGUAAUUGAUUUCUCCUUUCUGACGAACCAUGAUGUCAUUAACUUGGUGUCAUGGGAAAUCAGGACUGUUACUUUGAAAAAUUGACGUGUUUGAAGCAGGCUCACGCUUGAAUCAUUAGCAUGGA
rnacentral:misc_RNA from 1 species